rnacentral:rRNA from 1 species
GACGUAGGGGGCAAGCGUUGUUCGGAAUUAUUGGGCGUAAAGCGCUCGUAGGCGGGACAGGAAGUUCGUGUUGAAAGACCUCGGCUCAACUGAGGGACCGGCUCGAAUACUCUUGUUCUUGAGGCAAUCAGAGGGUGAUGGAAUUCCCGGUGUAGCGGUGAAGUGCGUAGAUAUCGGGAGGAACACCAGUGGCGAAGGCGAUCACCUGGGGUUGUUCUGACGCUGAGGAGCGAAAGCUAGGGGAGCAAACGGG